GUCAAAAGGCCAAAAUUUGUGGCUUGUUUUAAUUGACUAAUUAGUAAUAAAAUAAAGAAAAGAAAAUAUCAUCUUUUCUUCAUCUUCUCUCCACCGAAAAUGGCAACAAAGAAAGGGUUUAGAAGCUAGAAACUUUCAGUAAAGAAACUCCCUUUAUAGUAAGUGAUUUUAAUGUAUUUGCUUGAUGAUUUUUACAUUUUUAGAACCCCUAAAGCAUGAGCUUUCAUAAGAGGGGAUUAUUUUGCAAAAUGAUGAAGAGUCUAGGGUUUUACCAUGAGAUUAAAUGUGUUGUUUGCUGUGUUUUUAUGGAAGAUUAUGAGUCCUAGUUGUCUAAUAAACAACUUUUGUGAAAGAAAUUGCAUGAAAAUACCUUAAAAAGGGCUAGAUUGCUAAGUUGUAAAAUGAGUUGUAAAUGUGUGAAAUAGUUGAAAUUAUGAGUUGCUAUACUUAUGAAAAUGGUUCAUCUAGACUCAAGGAGUAAAGAAAUGUGAUAAAAAUUAAUUUACGAGCAUUGGGGAAAAAGUGCAAAUAUGUAAAAUUUUAGGGGUCAAAAUGAAAAUUUGUAAAAAUAUGAUUUUUAGACCCAUAUGAAUAUUGUGACUGAUUGGUAGGCUAAAUGUGAUGUUAUAGAUGAUGAAAAUUGAUAUUUGGACCUAGAAUGGAAAGAAAUCGAUUUAUGGACGAGUAUGUCCUUUUCACCUUUGUGGUAUCGAGGUAAGUUCGUAUGUAAACAAUACCAUGCUAUACAUGUAUUUAAAUGUUAUCAUUACAUGAAUUGUACAGAUAUUAAUGUGUAUGUGAUUAAUAGAAAUAUGAUAAGACAAAGCUUUAAUAGGCGAGGAAAAAUCCCGUUUGAACCUUAGGACUAAAUUAGGAUACGAGUGACAUGUCACUAGGAAUUAUGAGUCCAGAUGACUAGCUCGAGAGUGAGCAUUGAAAUGUCAUGAGAUAUGAGGUAGCUUUAGCUACAAUUAAGACACUUAUGUGCAAAGGCUUUUCCGAGUAUCCAAUUAGCAUUCCCAGUGUUCAACGGGUAAUCCGAGGAAAGAGAUGAUAAUGGUCCCAAAUGAGGUAAGUCAUUGGUAAGUUUGCGGUAAAUAAAUGCAAUAUUCUAUUAUUUUAUGUUAAUUUUGUUAAUUUCCAGCAUGUGUAUAUUUAUUUUAUGAAAUUAUUCAAAGAAGACCCAAGCAUGAAUUAACGGAGAGAUAAUUUCAGAAAGUCCCGGUUGAACCUUAGAAAUGUGUGGGAUACAAAAUGUCAUGACAUUUGGGUUCAAGGAUACCAUGUAAGACCAUGCUAAGGCAUGGCAAUUGGUAAGGUUUCUAAGGCAAGGAAAUCAUGUAAGACCAUGUCAAGACAUGGCAUUGAUAAGUUACUAUAAGGCAAAGGUCCCAUGUAAGACCGUGCCAAGGCAUGGCAUUGGUGAGUUCAUAAGGCAAGGAUACCAUGUAAUGUCAAGACAUGGCAAUGGUAAGUUUCAAAAGGAUACCACGUAAGACCAUGACAAGUCAUGGCAAUGGUAAGGUACCCAUGUAUCCUUAGUAUUCCAAGUGGUUCAACGGGAAAAUUUAAAGAGAAUAUCAAGGUAAGGUAAGUAAAAUGUAUUAAUAAAUAUUUAUUCUUACCAUGAUGGAUAAAAUGAUGUAUUAAUUUUAUGAACAAUGACCAUGAAUGAGUAACUUAGCCUUGACAGAUUUGAGUUACUGCAGUAGUGUAACUUUAAAAAUACACUAAAAAUAGUAUAAAAUGAGUUAGAGGCAGAAUAAAAUAUGGGAUUAAAGCUUAAUGAGUCUAUUUUCACAUGAAAGAAAUAGAGGAAGAAAAAGAAUUCUAUAUUGUGUGAUAUUUAAAUUCUUAUGAAACAGGGUUUGAAUGAAUUUGAGAUCCCCUGUUCUAAUUUUAUAAAUUCACCGUAAAUUUUACAAAAAUUAUUAAGAUUCAUAUCUUACAUGCAUGGAUUCCUUAUUGAGUCUAUUUUUAAGGGAAACAAACGGCAUGGUCAUUGGAAUUCUGUACAGGGAGAAAUUCUGUUCGUAGUGCACAGGGGUCAGAGUAGUCAUACCCUGAAAUAGGGGAAACUUUAACUAAUAAACUGUACUAAAUGGCUCGACCAAAAAUUCUAGAAAAAAAUUAGUAAGUAGAUAUAUGAGUCUAGUUUUAAGAGAAAUAGACGAUAACAUUAUUCGAAUCCUGUACUAUGAGAUAAUUGAACUUUAGUGCAGAAGGGUUGAAACUGUCAAAUAGUGAAUCAGGAGCAAACUUGAGGAAUAAACUGUACAAAUUUACUAAGUCAAAAAUUCUGGAAAUUUUAUGAAAGAAAGAUAAAUGAGUCUAGUUUCAUUGAAAAUUAACAGAACUUAAUUCGGAGUUUCGUAUCUCCAGAUAUAAAUAAUUUACUGACCGUUGCUCAGAAAGACAGCUUGUAGUGAACUUGAGAAUAUGUUGUAAACAUUGAUAAAACAAGUUAAUGAGUUGCUUAUUGUUUUCAUAUGAACUUACUAAGCGAAAGCUUACCCCCUUCUUUCCCAUGUUCUCUAGGGUUUCCAAGUUUGUUCGGGUUGGAGUUCGUCGGAGAUAUUAUCAGACUGUCAAGCUAACGCUAUUGGUGUAGUGAUUUCAAGUACUUUGAGUCUAUGGCAUGUAUAGGAGUUUAAAUAUUAGAGCAUGUGAUAUGGCUUUAACCAUAUGUGUUGGUCUAUUUUGAUUAUGGGGUUGUAAAUCCAUUUUAAUUAUGCAUGCAUGUGCUAUGGUAUUACGUGAUGAGUUUAUAAUGAUUAUAGCAUGAAUGUGGUAAAGAUGUGAGAAAAAUCUAUGAUAUCUAUUGCAUGUGAAAUUACCAUGGUCAUGUCAUGUUAGGAAUGUUUAAGUGCC
rnacentral:lncRNA from 1 species